UUUUUUUUUUUUUUUUAAAGAAAAGUCUGAAGCUAGCAGAUAUUGGUUCAUGAGGUUUAAGGAAAGCCUUUCCAACAACAUAAAAGUGCAAGGUGAAGCAGCAAGUGCUGAUGCAGAAGCUCCAAGUUAUCCAGAAGAUCUAGUUAAGAAAGUAAUGAUGGUAACUGCACUAAACAACAGAUUUUCAAAGUAGACAAAACAGCCCUCUACUGAAAGAAUCUGCUAUCUAGGAUUUUCAUAACUAAAAAAGAGAAGUCAGUGCCUGGCUUUAAAGCUUCAAAGAACAGGCUAACUCUUUUGUUGGGGGCUAAUGCAGCUUGUGACUUUAAGUUGAAGCUAAUGCUCACUCACCAUUCAGAAAAUCCUAGGGCCCUUAAGAAUUAUGCUAAAUCCACUUUGCCUGUGCUCAAAAAUGGAACAAAGAAGCCUGAAUGAUAGCACAUUUGUUUACAAUAUGGCUUACUGAAUAUUUUAACCCCACAGUGGAGAUCUACUGCUCAGAAAAAAGAUUCCUUUCAAAAUAUUACUGCUCAUUGACAAUGCACCUGGUCAGAAAAGAGUUAUGAUGAAAAUGUACAAUGAGAUUGAUGUUUUCAUGCUUGCUAAUGCAAUAUCCAUUCUGCAGCCCACGGAUCAAGGAGUAAUUUUGAUUUUCAAGUUUUUUAAAAAAAGACUUUCAAGUCUUUGAUUUUUAAGCAUUUAAGAAAUACAUUUAGUAAAGCUAUAGCUGCCAUAGCUAUAGCUAUGAUUCUUUUGAUGGGUCUGGGUAAACAGAAAACCUUCUGGAAAGGAUUUGUCAUCCUGGAUGCCAUUAAGAACAUUCAUGAUUUAUGGGGAGAUAAAAAAUAUCAACAUUAACAUUAACAGGAGCUGGAAGAAGUUGAUUCCAUCGCCCAUGGAUGACUUGGAGGGGUUCAAGACUUCAGGGGAGGAAGUAACAGCAGAUGUGGUAGGACUAGCAAGGGAACUAGAAUUAGAAGUGAAACCUGAAGAUGUAACUGAAUUCCUGCAAUCUCAUGAUAAAACUUUAACAGAUGAGGAGUUGCUUCUUACAAGAGCAAAGAAAAUGGGAUAGAAAUGGAUGAGAUAGAAACCGCUCCUGCUGAAGAUUCUGUUAAGAUUGUUAAAAUGAUAACAACGGAUUUGGAAUAUUACAUAAAUUUAGUUGAUUGUAUAGUAGGGUUCGAAAGGAUUGAUUCCAAUUUUGAAAGAUGUUCUAUUGUGAGUAAAUGCUAUCAAAAAGAAUCUCACACUACAGAAAAAUUGUUCAUAAACGGUAGUGUCAAUCACCGUGGUAAAUUUUAUUGUCUUUUUAAAGAAACUGCCAUAGCGAUCCCAGCUUGCAACAACCACCACCCUGAUCACUCAACAGCCAUUCAAUCUUGAGGCAAGAUCCUCUACCAGCAAAAAGAUUACAACUCAUGGAAAGUUAAGACAAUGGUCAGCAUUUUUUAGCAAUUCAGUAUUUUUUUAAUUAAGGUAUAUACACUGUUUUUUUUUUUAGAUAUAAGCUUCAUAAACUACAGUAUAAACAUAACCUUGAUAUGCACUAGAAAACCAAGAAACACAUUUGACUCACUUUAUUGCAAUAUUCACUUUACUGCGAUGGUCUGGAACUGAACCCAUAUUAUCCCCAAAGUAUGCCUGUUUUUUAUACAUAUUCCUACCUUCCUAAGUAGAAAAGCAAAGAAAAAUUUUAACUUUACUCGUAAUUCCAGCACAUCCAAAAUGAUACCCUAUAAUAAUAUCAUUUUGUAUCUCUAAUUGUUUUAUUAGAUUCCUCUUUAAAUGGAGGUCGUUUCUUUUCUAUUCAAAUACUUUUAUAAAUACCUAUAUUCGGGUAUUGCUUCUUAGCUUUUUUGUUCUAAGAAACUAGAAAACUAUGUUAAGAGUAGAUCAAGUUAGUGAAGGUCUGAGGAGAAAAGGAGUUGCUGUAAUACAAGAGCUUUGUGGUUAAGUAUUUUCCGUGCUCUAGGUCUUUAUAUUAUUUUACCUCAGUAUUAGGAGUUGUACUCAAAUGGCUACUUGUGCUAAAAUUUAUUUCCUAUCAAAAGUGGGGAGGUCAGUUAAAUAUAAAUUUUCCUAGGUAGCUAAAAUGGGAUUCAAAUUUUAUAAGAUAAGAGUGAAUCACAUACAAUUGUUCACAAGGAAAUUAACAUGCUGAAACUGAGGCUUUUAUAGCUGACUCCAAAGAAAUCCAAAGGAUUUCAUUUUGAAACUUCUUUUCAGAUCUAUAUGUCUAACUCAUAACAACAGGAAAUAAGAAAACAUUAUGUCUUCUUUCUUUCAAUUUACAUCCAAAGGAAUUCUCAGAAUACAAAGUAUUUUUUACUCUGAUAUAAAAAGCCUAGACACUCCUUUAAAUUUUAGGAUGUCCUUAAUGAAUCUAGUCUUUCAUGGCAAGAAGUAUUGCUUUCCACAGCUAUUCAUUCACAUUCUCUAAAGAAGUAGUUUAGCUAAACUAAAUAUCAAAACUGGUUAAGAUGCUCUGAAACUCUUUUACAGACAUGGUACAUGGCUUUUUAAAAGAAACAUAAUCUGAAUAACUGAAGUCACCUGUAAUAACAGGCAAGGCAUAAACAAAAUCAAACUAGCUUAAAAGCUUUCCAAAAAUUAAACAAGGGUUUCUGAAUCUUAUGUAAUUUUGUAGGGGCUAAGUAUGUAGCCUUAGAUAAAUUUGCUUGAAUAACCUUCUAUCAAGAGGAAUAUGUGCAUAUCGUUGUAAAAUCAAGAACAAAAAUACACGGGCAGCCCGGGUGGCUCAGCAUUUAGCACCUGCCUUUGGCCCAGGGCAUGAUCCUGAAGACCUGGGAUCGAGUCCCAUGUCAGGCUCCUUGCAUGGAGCCUGCUUCUCCCUCCUCCUGUGUCUCUGCCUCUCUCUCUCUCUCUCUCUCUCUCUCUCUCUCUCUCUCAGUGUCUCUCAUUAAUAAAUAAAAUCUUAAAAAAAAGAAAAGAAAAAUACAAAAAGAGUAAAGCUUUGAAUAAAAUAUUUUUUUCUUAAAGAAAUGCCUUCUACAUGUUACACCUGUGAGAAACAUAUUGUGAUUUUGUGCAUAAAUUAUGCAUACUCUUAAUAACAACAGAUAUAUUGGUGCUUACAAUGGGGCCAACUAUAUUCUAAAUGCUUUGCUUUUAAAUAGCUCAGUCUUUAAAAGGCCCUAUAAGUUAGGUACUAUAAUAGUCAAACCCAGUUUUGCAGAUAGGAAAUUCAGGUGCACAGAAGUUAAAGCUGUCCAAGGUCCCACAACGAGAAAGUAGAGGCAUUGUUUAAUAAAUAGAAGAGCUGUUAAUAUAACGUAAAGAUAUCUUAGUAUACUAUAUAGUAUGAAUUCUGAAAUACAAAAUGUUGAAUACAGUGUAAAAAUGGAGUAAUGAACAUUUUUAAUUCAAUAAUUUAAACAUCACAUGAAACAAACUAGAAAUAGAAGGGAAGUUCCUCAAUCUGAUAAAAGGCAUCUAUGAAAAACCCACAGCUAUCAUCAUACAUAAUAGUGAGAGACUACAUGCUUUCCCCCUUAAGAUGAGGAACAAAAUUUUCAGCACUUAUAUUCAGUAUUGUACCAGGGUUUCUAGCCAGGGCAAUUAAGGAAGAAAAAGAAAGAAAAGACAGUCAAGUCAAAUUUGAAAAGAAAAUGUAAACUGAUCUUUAUUUACAGAGGACAUGAUAUUAUAUAGAGAGAAUCCUAAAGAAUUACUAGAAUAGAGGAGCUCAGUAAGGUAUCAGGGUAAAAGACCUAUAUAGAAAAGUCAAUUGUAUGUCAAUACAAUCUGAAAAUGAAAUUAAGAAAACAAUUCUAUUUACAUUAGCAUAAAACAGAGAUAAAAUUUUUUUAAAAGUGUAAGACUUAAAGAUUUGAUAAUACUGUUCUAAGAUAUUAAAGGAAACCCAAAUUAAAGGAUAUGCUACAUUUCUGAAUCAAAAGACUUAACACUUUUAAGAUGAUAAUAUUCCUGAAAAUGAUCUAUAGAUUCAAUACAAUCUGUAAAAAUUUCCAGCUGUUAAUUGUAUAGAAUUGACACAAUGAUUAGGAUUUCACAGAGAAAGGCAGGAAUAACCAAAACAGUCUCGCAAAAGAAGAACAAAGUUAGAGAAUGUAUACUUCACGUAAUCAACAUAAUGUGGUACUGGCAUAAGGAUAGACAGACAUGCAGAUUAAUAGAACAGAACUAUGAGUCACAAAAUAAACCCUUACAUUUAUGGUCAUUUGGUUUUUGACAAAGAAAUUAAGAUCAUUCACAGGAAUAGAAUUAUCGUUUCAAUAAAUGGUGGUGGGUUCAACUGGAGAUCCAUAUGAAAAAUAACAAAACUGGACUCCUUCCUUACACCAUAUACAGAUAUUAACUUAAAACUGAUCAUAAACUUUAGUGUAAGAGCUAAAACUAUAGUACUCUUAACAGAAAACAGGAAUAAAAUAUUUGUAACCUUAGGCAAAGCCUUCUUUAAAUAUGACACCAACAGCACAAGAAAAGAAAAAAUAAUAAAUUGGACUUCACCAAACUCAGGAACAUUUGUGCUGUAGAGGAUACCAUCAAGAAAAUGAAAAGAUAAUGUACAGGAUGGGAGAAAAUUUCUGUAAAUCAUGUAAUUGAUAAGGGACAACCCAAAUGUCCAUCAAUUUGGUGAAUGGAUAAACAAAAUGUGGUGUAUCUAUAUAUUGGGGUAUUGUUUAUCAAUAAAAAGGAAUGAAGUUUGGAUACAUACUAUAACAUGGAUAAUCUUCCAAACAUCAUGCUAAAUGAAAAAGCCAAUCACAAAAGACUACAUAUUAUAUGAUUCCAUUUGUAUGAAAUGUUCAGGAUAGGCAAAUCUAUACAAAAAGAUAGUAAAUCUGUGAUUUCUUAAAGUUUAGGAGGUGAGGGAGGCAACAGGGAGUGACCAUUAAUGGGUAUGGAUUACUGGGGAGUUAAGACAUUUCAGAACUGACUGUUUUGUUACACAUUUCUAUGAAUAUAUUUAAAGUCAUUGAAUUGUACACUUUGUUACUUUUAAAGAUUUUAUUUACUUAUUUGAGAGUGUGUGUGUGAGAAUGAGAAAGAGAGCAUGAGCAGGCGCGGGAGGAGCAGAGAGAGAGGAGUAGACUUGCUAUGGAGCAGAGAGCCGGAGAGGAAGUCAAUCCCAGGACCCUGGGAUCAUGAUCCGAGCCAAAGGCAGAUGUCCAACCAACUGAGCCACCCAGGGGCCCCUGAAUUAGGUGAAAUACAUGGUAUAAAUUUUAUCUCCAUAAAGCUGUUAAAAUAACUUAAAUGUCAUUUUUUAUCUUAUUUUAACUACUUGUAGAUAAUAUUUACCUAAGAUGGUGACCUUGGGAAAUGCUCUCUUUGUGAAAGAGAAUAAAAAAUUUAAAUCCUUUUUGUCAUGUGCUCAGUAGAUUGACCAAUACCAAGCAAGAGCAAUUCUAGUAUUCAACUAUUUCAGAUAAAAUGGUUUAAUAUUAAUCAAUGUGAAGCUAAAAUUAUUAACUUUUAAUUGUUUUUCUUGGAAAUAUAACUGAUUUAUAGCAAUGAUUUAAUAUGGGAAAUUAAUUCAUUUUUGCAACUUGGAGACACAUUAUAAAACUAACUUAU
rnacentral:lncRNA from 1 species